AAUCAGAGAGUUGUUUCAGUGGAUAGAUGCUUGUUCACAGUGCAGGAGGUUUUUGUACGGCCACUUAAUGAGUUUGUAUCACUGUGGUACACUUUUGGUGGAGGAACCAAACUCGUCGUUGACUUGGGUGUGGUGCGGCCCACCCUGACCGUCCUCCCCCCCUCCAGAGAGGAGCUGCAGCAGGGCAGUGCCACACUGGUGUGUCUGGCCAGCGGGGGCUUCCCCUCAACCUGGAGUCUGGGCUGGAAGGUGGGGGGCAGCAGCAGCUCCUCAGGGGUGUCAAACAGCCCGGAGGUCCUGGGGAGCGACGGCCGCUACAGCUGGAGCAGCACCCUGAGCCUCCCUGCAGACCAGUGGAAGAAGGCGGGCUCAGUGGUCUGUGAGGCCAGUCUGAAUGGACGAGCCCUGUCACUCAAACCCUGGACCCUGACAGCUGCUCAGAGUAGAGCUUCAGCAACACUUCCUGUCUGGAAAUGAUGCUGCUUCUUUCAUAGAGAUCUUGAUGAAGCUACAGAUCUCCUCUGUUCACACAUUUCUGCAAGUUUCACAGCUCUCCACUCAGUGUUUUAGUGUGCAUGUUGCUUUCUAAUACUGAUCUUCUGCAUGUUCUUCUUUAUGCUCUUUACUUUUCAGAU